rnacentral:rRNA from 1 species
CCUACGGGAGACAGCAGUGGGGAAUAUUGGGCAAUGGGCGCAAGCCUGACCCAGCAACGCCGCGUGAAGGAAGAAGGCUUUCGGGUUGUAAACUUCUUUUCUCAGGGACGAAGCAAGUGACGGUACCUGAGGAAUAAGCCACGGCUAACUACGUGCCAGCAGCCGCGGUAAUACGUAGGUGGCAAGCGUUAUCCGGAUUUACUGGGUGUAAAGGGCGUGUAGGCGGGACUGCAAGUCAGAUGUGAAAACCACGGGCUCAACCUGUGGCCUGAAUUUGAAACUGUAGUUCUUGAGUACUGGAUGGGCAGACGGAAUUUCUAGUGUAGCGGUGAAAAGCGUAGAUAGUAGGAGGAACACCAGUGGCGAGGGUGGUCUGCUGGACAGCAACUGACGCUGAGGCGCGAAAGCGUGGGGAGCAAACAGGAUGAGAUACCCUUGUAGUC